rnacentral:rRNA from 1 species
AUUGAACGCUGGCGGCAUGCCUUACACAUGCAAGUCGAACGGCAGCACGGGAGCAAUCCUGGUGGCGAGUGGCGAACGGGUGAGUAAUAUAUCGGAACGUGCCCAGUCGUGGGGAUAACGUAGCGAAAGCUACGCUAAUACCGCAUACGAUCUAUGGAUGAAAGCGGGGGAUCGCAAGACCUCGCGCGAUUGGAGCGGCCGAUAUCAGAUUAGGUAGUUGGUGAGGUAAAGGCUCACCAAGCCGACGAUCUGUAGCUGGUCUGAGAGGACGACCAGCCACACUGGGACUGAGACACGGCCCAGACUCCUACGGGAGGCAGCAGUGGGGAAUAUUGGACAAUGGGCGAAAGCCUGAUCCAGCAAUGCCGCGUGAGUGAUGAAGGCCUUAGGGUUGUAAAGCUNUUUUACCCGAGAUGAUAAUGACAGUAUCGGGAGAAUAAGCUCCGGCUAACUCCGUGCCAGCAGCCG